CCUACGGGCGGCAGCAGUGGGGAAUAUUGGACAAUGGGGGCGACCCUGAUCCAGCCAUGCCGCGUGUGUGAAGAAGGCCCUCGGGUUGUAAAGCACUUUCAGUGAGGAAGAACGCCUGGUGGUUAAUACCCAUCAGGAAAGACAUCACUCACAGAAGAAGCACCGGCUAACUCCGUGCCAGCAGCCGCGGUAAUACGGAGGGUGCGAGCGUUAAUCGGAAUUACUGGGCGUAAAGCGCGCGUAGGUGGCUUGAUAAGCCGGUUGUGAAAGCCCCGGGCUCAACCUGGGAACGGCAUCCGGAACUGUCAAGCUAGAGUGCAGGAGAGGAAGGUAGAAUUCCCGGUGUAGCGGUGAAAUGCGUAGAGAUCGGGAGGAAUACCAGUGGCGAAGGCGGCCUUCUGGACUGACACUGACACUGAGGUGCGAAAGCGUGGGUAGCAAACAGGAUUAGAUACCCCAGUAGUC
rnacentral:rRNA from 1 species